UAUAAACAGCACGUAUCGCUGCUAGUCACACGGUCGGUUUAACCAUUUUUGUAUCCUGUGAUUUUUAAGUGUUUUAAAUUUAAGAUUUAAAAAAACAACAAUCUUACCAUGUUUACCGAGUCUUUGCUGAUGUACGACACCCCGGUGCUGGUGAGCAAGAAAACCGAUGAAUCACCAAAGCUUCAACGUAAGAUCUCUGGUCCAGAUCCAUGUCCACCCAAACCCAAGAGCUCUUCAUCUGAUAUCAUCAAGCAGCAAACAGAGGAGCUUCUUAAUGCCAUGCUGCCACCAAGGGAAUGGAGGGAGAACGAUCAGCUGUGGGUACAGAAGGUGUCCAGCACGCCGUGCACCCGGACAGACAUCAUUCAUCUGCAAGAGGAACUGGAUCUCAAACUUCAGCAGAGAAAGGCUAACGAUACGGGCGUUUGUCCUGUCCGCAGAGAGCUCUACACACAGUGCUUUGAUGAGCUCGUCAGACAAGUGACCAUCAACUGUGCUGAGAGAGGACUGCUGCUUUUACGAGUGAGAGAUGAGAUUCGCAUGACCAUCUCGUCUUAUCAGAACCUGUAUGAGAGCAGCGUGGCCUUCGGCAUGAGGAAAGCUCUGGAGGCUGAGAAAGAGAAGUCAGACAACGUCAAAAGGAUUGCAGACUUGGCGGAUGAGCUGACUGAACUGGAAAGACAGUUGAAUGAGAAGAAGGCUGAAUGUGAGGAAAUGGAGAGACAGGCAAAUGAACAGCGACUGGUUGAAGAGCAGAAGCACGCUGAGGAGAUCGAGUCUCUCAAAUACACCAACCUGCAAAUUAAGGACCAGUUGAAUACAGUCAUCACACAAAUGUAGUUAUAACAGACAUGUUUAAAAAUGGAGCCAGUCCGUGCCGGUAGACGAUUAGGUCCAGAUAGCGAGUGGAUGAAAUGGAUGCACCCUUGAAGCUGAGGGAAGCUGGUCACAAGCUGGUGAGGAUCUUUAAUUAAUCAUGUCAGACUUGUGCAUCUCUCUUGCAGGAAACCCUGAAGAUGCUCUACAACACGGACAAUAAGAAAAAGAAAAGAAAGAAUUAAAAAACACAAAAUGAAACACAAAGAUAGAACAAUAAAGCAAAUGUUGUAAAGU